UGGGGAAUAUUGCACAAUGGGGGAAACCCUGAUGCAGCGACGCCGCGUGGAGGAAGAAGGUCUUCGGAUUGUAAACUCCUGUUGUUGAGGAAGAUAAUGACGGUACUCAACAAGGAAGUGACGGCUAACUACGUGCCAGCAGCCGCGGUAAAACGUAGGUCACAAGCGUUGUCCGGAAUUACUGGGUGUAAAGGGAGCGCAGGCGGGAAGACAAGUUGGAAGUGAAAUCCAUGGGCUCAACCCAUGAACUGCUUUCAAAACUGUUUUUCUUGAGUAGUGCAGAGGUAGGCGGAAUUCCCGGUGUAGCGGUGGAAUGCGUAGAUAUCGGGAGGAACACCAGUGGCGAAGGCGGCCUACUGGGCACCAACUGACGCUGAGGCUCGAAAGUGUGGGUAGCAAACAGGAUUAGAUACCCUGGUAGUCCACACCGUAAACGAUGAUUACUAGGUGUUGGAGGAUUGACCCCUUCAGUGCCGCAGUUAACACAAUAAGUAAUCCACCUGGGGAGUACGACCGCAAGGUUGAAACUCAAAGGAAUUGACGGGGGCCCGCACAAGCAGUGGAGUAUGUGGUUUAAUUCGAAGCAACGCGAAGAACCUUACCAGGUCUUGACAUCCGAUGCAUAGUGCAGAGAUGCAUGAAGUCCUUCGGGACAUCGAGACAGGUGGUGCAUGGUUGUCGUCAGCUCGUGUCGUGAGAUGUUGGGUUAAGUCCCGCAACGAGCGCAACCCUUAUUGCCAGUUACUACGCAAGAGGACUCUGGCGAGACUGCCGUUGACAAAACGGAGGAAGGUGGGGAUGACGUCAAAUCAUCAUGCCCUUUAUGACUUGGGCUACACACGUACUACAAUGGCGUUAAACAAAGAGAAGCAAGACCGCGAGGUGGAGCAAAACUCAGAAACAACGUCCCAGUUCGGACUGCAGGCUGCAACUCGCCUGCACGAAGUCGGAAUUGCUAGUAAUCGUGGAUCAGCAUGCCACGGUGAAUACGUUCCC
rnacentral:rRNA from 1 species